CUUCAAUCCCUUUUAUAAUACUGAUUGUUGUUUAGGGAUACCUUAAUGUAAUCAAAAUAAUUAAAGGCUACAUAUAAUAAAAUACUUAAUUUCUCAAGAAACAAAUAAGAAUUAUUGUUCUAAGCUGCCUGCUGCUUACCUCACUAAAUAGAUUGAUUUUUCUCUUCUCUGCUCUUGUCUCUUACAUAAAAAGUCCACUUUCAGAGUGCUUUAAUGAGUCCAGUUUCCUUUGUAAGGUUUUUAUAAUGCCAAACGGCCUCUUAAAAUGUCAUUUGACUAAUAUUGACCACCUGUAGGCAGACAGCCAAUCUGAUUAGGUCCUAGAUGAAAGUAAAAUAGCUUCCAUUUGGAAACAUGAUAAACUAUCACUCUUUCAAGACUGCCACAGGUAAAAAUUUGUUACUGUUGCCAUGGAUAAUUUAAUAUUGUUUAAAUGAUCACCACUCUAAAUUAGCCAUCACCUAAUGAAAAAGCAAUUAGGAUUUCCUCAUAAAUAAUUUGAAGGUUUCUUGAUUGAGACAUGGCUAGUAGAAACUAACAAAUUAAUAAAAACACAUUCUAUUGGGUUAAUACAAGAAUAUUAUAUAGAAGUAGUAUUUAUUUACAGUUAGAUUCUUAGUUGAAUAAUCAUUUUUCCUUUGUUAUUACUUUUUAGCACAGACAAGUAAUUGGAUUAUUUCUGAGAAAAGAUAAUAUAUAAGAUAUAAUUAUCCUUAAAACACACAUCUCAUAGUGGGUUUUGAAAUAUUAAUUGUUA
rnacentral:lncRNA from 1 species